rfam:Pongo abelii chromosome 15.
GCCGGGUGUGGUGGCGCGCACCUGUAAUCCCAGCUACUCAGGAGGCUGAGGCAUGAGAAUUGCUUGAACCUGGGAGGAGGAGGUUGCAGUAAGCUGAGAUCAUGCCACUGCACUCCAGCCUGGGUGACAGAGCGAGACUCUGCCUCAA